CGAAAAUACUGUGCAGCUAGGGAGUGGGAGAGGUACACGGUACUCGAUAGGAAGGGGUAAAAUCCUUUGAUCUAUUGAUGACCACCUGUGGCGAGGGCGGUGUACCAGAACACGUUCGACGGUGAGGGAUGAAAGCUGGGGGAGCAAACCGGAUUAGAUACCCGGGUAGUCCCAGCUGUAAACGAUGCAGACUCGGUGAUGCAUUGGCUUGUGGCCAAUGCAGUGCCGCAGGGAAGCCGUUAAGUCUGCCGCCUGGGAAGUACGUACGCAAGUAUGAAACUUAAAGGAAUUGGCGGGGGAGCACCACAAGGGGUGAAGCCUGCGGUUCAAUUGGAGUCAACGCCAGAAAUCUUACCUGGGGAGACAGCAGAAUGAAGGUCAAGCUGAAGACUUUACCAGACACGCUGAGAGGUGGUGCAUGGCCGUCGCCAGCUCGUGCCGUGAGAUGUCCUGUUAAGUCAGGUAACGAGCGAGACCCCUGCGUCUAGUUGCUACCAUUACUCUCUGGGGCAGUGGAGCGAAUUAGACGGACCGCCACAGUUAAUGUGGAGGAAGGAAGGGGCCACGGCAGGUCAGUAUGCCCCGAAACCCUAGGGCUACACGCGGGCUGCAAUGGUAUUGACAUNNGNUCCGAAUCCGAAAGGAGGAGGCAAUCAUCAAACAUAUCUCAGUUA
rnacentral:rRNA from 1 species